rnacentral:sRNA from 1 species
AUCUCUUAUCAGGCUCUCUUCAUAUUUGUAUUCUUAUUUUCGGACACCAUUGAAUUUUUUCUCACUAUCGGCACCGUCUCGUGCUUCCUCCACCGCAACCAACUUGUUCACAUCUCCGUGGUCUUCCUCUCAACGUCGGGGAAUCAAAGUAUCUGGCUCUGAUAUUAGAGUUGGAAAUAUCAUUGGAAAACAAGG